GAUUACUGGGCGUAAGCGCACGCAGGCGGUCUGUCAAGUCGGAUGUGAAAUCCCCGGGCUCAACCUGGGAACUGCUUUCAAAACUGGCAAGCUAGAGUCUUGUAAAGGGGGGUAGAAUUCCUGGUGUAGCGGUGAAAUGCGUAAAGAUCUGGAGGAAUACCGGUGGCGAAGGCGGCCCCCUGGACGGAGACUGACGCUCAGGUGCGAAAGCGUGGGGAGCAAACAGGAUUAAAUACCCUGGUAUUCCACGCCGUAAACAAUGUCGACUUGGAGGUUGUUCCCUUGAGGAGUGGCUUCCGGAGCUAACGCGUUAAGUCGACCGCCUGGGGAGUACAGCCGCAAGGUUAAAACUCAAAUGAAUUGACGGGGGCCCGCACAACCGGUGGACCAUGUGGUUUAAUUCAAUGCAACGCGAAAAACCUUACCUACUUUUGACAUCCAGAGAACUUAGCAGAGAUGCUUUGGUGCCUUCGGAAACUCUGAGACAGGUGCUGCAUGGCUGUCGUCACCUCGUGUUGUGAAAUGUUGGGUUAAGUCCCGCAACGAGCGCAACCCUUAUCCUUUGUUGCCAGCGGUUCGGCCGGGAACUCAAAGGAGACUGCCAGUGAUAAACUGGAGGAAGGUGGGGAUGACGUCAAGUCAUCAUGGCCCUUACGAGUAGGGCUACACACGUGCUACAAUGGCAUAUACAAAGAGAAGCGACCUCGCGAGAGCAAGCGGACCUCACAAAGUCAGUCGUAGUCCGGAUCGGAGUCUGCAACUCGACUCCGUGAAGUCGGAAUCGCUAGUAAUCGUAGAUCA
rnacentral:rRNA from 1 species